AGAGUUUGAUCCUGGCUCAGAACGAACGCUGGCGGCGUGGAUAAGACAUGCAAGUCGAGCGCUAAUUUCGGAGUAGCAAUAUUCCGGAGUUGGAGCGGCGCAAGGGUGCGUAACACGUGGGUAAUCUGCCAUGAAGUCUGGAAUAACUUGCUGAAAGGCGAGCUAAUACCGGAUGUGACCAUCGGGAGGCAUCUCCUGGUGUUUAAAGCUGGGGACCGUAAGGCCUGGCGCUUCAUGAUGAACCCGCGGCCUAUCAGCUAGUUGGUGAGGUAACGGCCCACCAAGGCUAAGACGGGUAGCUGGUCUGAGAGGACGACCAGCCACACUGGAACUGAGACACGGUCCAGACACCUACGGGUGGCAGCAGUCGAGAAUUUUUCACAAUGGGCGCAAGCCUGAUGGAGCGACGCCGCGUGGGGGAUGAAUGGCUUCGGCCCGUAAACCCCUGUCAUUCGCGAUCAAACCUUGCUAUUUAAAAGAUGGUGAGCUGAUAGUAGCGGAAGAGGAAGGGACGGCUAACUCUGUGCCAGCAGCCGCGGUAAUACAGAGGUCCCAAGCGUUGUUCGGAUUCACUGGGCGUAAAGGGUGCGUAGGUGGUGAGGUAAGUCGGAUGUGAAAGCUCGGAGCUCAACUCCGAAAUGGCAUUGGAAACUACCUUGCUCGAGGGUUGGAGGGGGGACUGGAAUACUUGGUGUAGCAGUGAAAUGCGUAGAUAUCAAGUGGAACACCAGUGGCGAAGGCGAGUCCCUGGACAACUCCUGACACUGAGGCACGAAAGCUAGGGGAGCAAACAGGAUUAGAUACCCUAGUAGUCC
rnacentral:rRNA from 1 species